ACUCAGUUGAGUUUUAGCACUGUUCAGCAAUAGUAAAAGGGCGGAAAUGCCCUUGAUUUGUUUGGGGUUUAGGUGCUGCUGAAUUGCUUUAUACAGUUAAAUGUCAUUUUUGGCCCCUCUAGGUGGGCUGUCUUCAGCUGCCUGAAAAGUCCUACACCUUUUUUAUCUCGCCUGUUGAGGGAUUUGGUUUAUUUUCUCGCCGUUCUCAUCAAUUUUCUACCUACCUCAAACUGCUCUCUCAUCUUUUCAUCUCUCUCCCAAAUUAUCUGUGCGAAAUCAGUGAGCCUGUUUUUGGUUGCUGGAAAAAAGUUUGGUUGAUACAAAUUUCUUGCGUUCAAAAUCCCUCAAUCGCUACGAAUUUUGUUCAUUUUUUGGAUUUAUCAGAAUCAAUUUUUUGGGUUAGAGGUCUACAGUUCCUGGGUGAGUGUUUUUUUUCUUUUUACUUCUUUGGUAUCGUUGUUUUAAAUUUUUCUUGGUGGUUUUCGAUGUUCAGAUGCUUUUUGCAUAUGAAUUUUGGAUGGUUUUUGUAUAUGAAUUUUGUUUUUAUAAUAUUAGGUAUUUUGUUUCUAUGCUUAGAUUUUAAUCUUUUUGGGGGUAAAAUAUUUAAAUAUGGGUUUAAUUGGCAGUUUUGAUUUUCUUUCUCUUUUCUUUCCAUUCCACUGCUGUCUCUCAAUUUGUGUUGCCUUUCUGAUUCUGGCUUCCGCAUGUGUCAAAUGAUAGAAACCGGCUGAAGGCAAUUUUCUGAGGCUUGGUUCUGCUCCAUGGGUCACUGCCCUGUAGAUUAAAUUAUCAAAAUUCGGUGUUUCCACGUUGCCGAUUCCAAUUAGUCGUUGCUAAGAGGAUCAAAUUGGAUAUAAUUUCUUCUGCAGCCAUAAAAUCUAUAAACAGAUUUCCAAGUUUACAAGGAGGUUGCUGGGUUGAGUUUAGUUACACAGAUAACGCUGCAGUAUACCAUACAAAGGCUUUUUUUCUUUCCUUUUCCCCAUUCUUGGGAUAUUGGUUACAAAAUCCGUUUUUAGCAUAGGUGUGAAAUUUACAGUAGGGGUUAGUAAGUUAAUUAGUUAAUUUCAUUCUCAAUGUGCACAAAUGUUGUUCUUGCAUUAAUUCAUUUUCUUUGUAUCGAAAUUGAAUAAAUCUAAUUCUCCUUGAUAUCCACUCAUUCUGCUAAGAUAUUUAUGUUGUUUCUCUCAUGCUCUAUCACAAUAUAUCAGUUACUUUAAUAAAUUUAGUUCUAAACGU